rnacentral:rRNA from 1 species
GAUCAGUGGCACGUAGGACGACGCUGGCGGCGUGCCUAACACAUGCAAGUCGAACGGAGUAUUGAGAGCUUGCUCUUGAUACUUAGUGGCGAACGGGUGAGUAACGCGUGAGCAACCUGCCUUUCAGAGUGGGACAACAGUUGGAAACGACUGCUAAUACCGCAUAAUGCAUUUGGAGGCAUCUCCUUAAUGCCAAAGAUUUAUUGAUGAAAGAUGGGCUCGCGUCUGAUUAGAUAGUUGGUGAGGUAACGGCUCACCAAGUCGACGAUCAGUAGCCGGACUGAGAGGUUGAACGGGCCACAUUGGAACUGAGAUACGGUCCAGACUCCUACGGGAGGCAGCAGUGGGGAAUAUUGGGCAAUGGGCGAAAGCCUGACCCAGCGACGCCGCGUGCGGGAAGAAGGCCUUCGGGUUGUAAACCGCUGUAGACAAGGACGAAACAAAUGACGGUACUUGUAAAGUAAGCCACGGCUAACUACGUG